rnacentral:misc_RNA from 1 species
GCGACAUGAUCCCGCGGAGCGUUGAGUGAGAGCGUGUCCCUUGCCUAAACAAUUGGGACACGCUCUCACUCAAUGCUCCGCGGGAUCAUGUCGCAUCUGUAGACAGCGACAUCACACGUAUCUGCAUCAAGACCAGGGGCAUAGCAAAACACGAACACGUGUCGACCGAACAUCGAGCGGCCGAUCGUCGAGCGACCGAUCAUCCAGCGGUCGAUCUUCGCCCAGUUCACCGUCCCCGCGUUCGUCACAUCGUUCGAGACGCUCAUCUUCGUCUCCCCGAGCGUCUCGCCAGUAUUCUCGCCGAGAUUCUCGCCGAGAUUCUCGCCGAGAGUCUCCCCGAGCGUCUCCCCGAACGUCUCCCCGAGCGUCUCCCCGAACGUCUCCCCGAGCGUCUCGUCGAGAUUCUCGCCAAGAGUCUCCCCGAACGUCUCCGCGAACAUCCCCGAAACG